AGUAGAUACUAUAGUAGAUAAUAUAGUAGAUACUAUAGUAGAUAAUAUAAUAGAUAAUAAAGUAGAUACUAUAGUAGAUAAUAUAGUAGAUAAUAAGGUAGAUACUAUAGUAGAUAAUAAGGUAGAUAAUAUAGUAGAUAAUAAGGUAGAUACUAUAGUAGAUAAUAAGGUAGAUAAUAUAGUAGAUAAUAAGGUAGAUAAUAUAGUAGAUAAUAUAGUAGAUACUAUAGUAGAUAAUAUAGUAGAUAAUAAGGUAGAUACUAUAGUAGAUAAUAAGGUAGAUACUAUAGUAGAUAAUAUAGUAGAUACUAUAGUAGAUAAUAAGGUAGAUACUAUAGUAGAUAAUAUAGUAGAUAAUAUAGUAG
ensembl:lncRNA